GGGCAGGGCCUGUGCCAGAACGGCUGCCCUGAGAAUGCCCCAGGAGCUGAGGCUCUGGCACACCUCUGGGGACCACACAGGUUUCAGUGACUCAGCGACUACCAAGGCACAGGUGGCUCUUGGCCUACCCGGAAGCAAAAACUUCAUGCUUUUGAAAUGCCCGAGAGUGCCCUGCCAGACCUCCAUGACCAGGGAUAUGUGUCAGUCUGGUGUAGACCUUGGGCCCUGUGUGGAUGUCUUGGAAACAUGAGGCCGUCUCAGAUGCCCUAUCUUUAGGCAACUGAAUUGCAUUCCAGGACAGGGUUCAGCUUCAGAUUUUGAUGCCUAAAUUAAUGGCUCAACAGCACAGAUAUUUAAGCUCACAGCAUAGUGACAUGUAGGAAUUGAAUCCCACCCCUAGUCAGUGGAAAGGCCUUUUGGGGUGCAUUUGUGUUGCUCACUUCAUAGAUCUUCUUUAGGCUGAGAUUAUCCAUGUGUGAGAAUUGCCUAGCUCGCUCUGUGGACUUGAAGGGUAGACCAGCUCAGGUGGAGACACCUACACUGCAGACACCCAGAGCUCCAUUCAGUUGCCUGUGUUUAAGUGUCUAGUCCUUUUAGGAUGCUCUCAGGUAUCCCAGGCAUCCACACAGACAUGACACAGGGGCUGCAGGCCCUGGGCCCUCCCAGGGCAGCAGCAGGGUCUAGGUAUGAUCAGAUGUCAUGUCACACAGCGCUAGACACCUAGAUGCCAACAGCAUUUAUGUCUAGCCAGGUGAAUCCUGGACCCUGAAGUAUGCAGUUGCCUUAAGGGUCAGGAACAACUGAGCAGGGGCUGUGAACACCUGAACUCCACAGUUGUGCACUGCUUGGAGCAAUUAGGUGGGUUAUGAAAGCCUCCAGCCCUGCGGAUUCAGUCCACAGCUCUCAAGUAAUAAAGUAUAUGACAUUUAAGGAUCUGGCUGGUCCAAAUCAGGCAUGCUUCUUAGUUAAAAUUACAAAAGGGUAAAUGUAAGUUUAUUAUGAGGGGUUUUUUUCCUACUUAUAUAACUAUUCCAUUAUACUAAUGCAGUAAUUAUUUCUCUCUGAAAUACAACAUAAUUAGCUCAUGCAGGAAGGCUGUCUGCUCUUUUUUUUUUUUUUUUUUUUUUCCCAGGAAAGGGAUUAAGAGCUUUCCCUUUUGGAACCCAGUGCUUGUUGCUAACCUCUCCUGGCUUGGAGCUAGCUGGUGAUGUCUUCCUCUGUUAUGAAGGGGAGAGAAGACAAAUGAACACACCUUUUAGAAAAAGUAAAAAAAAUUAAAAAAAAAGAGAAUAACUGAGUUUAUUUUGGAAUGCAAAGAAUUUUAAGAAGAAAAGAAUGUUAAGAAUUUGGGGUGAAUAUAAUGAUGUAUUUCUGUUUCUCUGUGGAUGCAGGACUAAACAGUUAAAAUCAAUCCUUACAAUUACUUACAUGCAUCUCUUCAGCUUAAUUCUUUCUUUCCUCUGUUUUUAAUUCCCUUUUCUCUCUACUCUUGGCUAUGUGCUAACUGAACUCUGCAGAACAGCACAGCUUUUCAGCUAAAAAUAAACAAAGAAAGAUUCCCUGAGUGUGCCUUUUUUGCCUCUCAACUAAUGGUCUCCAAAAGUGCCUGGCCCAAUUUAUAUUAAUGAGUAAGAUGCACCCAAGGGCUGUUCUCUGGCCAUGAGGCCAGCUGGCACAGCAUGUACCACUUCCCUACAGGUGAACUCUUGCCACCAAGUCAAUGUGACUGUAUGUAAAUGACCUACUGGGAAUGGUCCAUGAUCCUUCCUGUCUCCUAACCUGUGUGUGUGGGAACACUGUUAGAUGGUCUGGGCCAAACCCGUAUCAGGCACAGGCUAACAAUCCCCUGAUGCGGAUGACCGUGUCUCAGAGCUCAAGCUCAUCAGUUGUUUACUCAGAACAGAUAUAGUCCAGAUACAGAUGGGGGUAGGUGGACCACAGCUAGUCCAUGUUAAAUGUGCAGUGUUUUCAGUUAAAAAGUGUUACAAAACAUGCAAUACCUGUUGGUCUAGCACUACACAGUCAAAGAAAAAGAAGCCAUUAGGUUGAAUUAAACAUCCUUACUAGAACUCCUAUGAUUGCUGUAGAGUUUCAGUGUAUUUAGUUAUUUACAGCUCAUCCCUAUGUUCUUCACUUCAAUCCAUCUGCUUUUUGCAGCACCAGCCAAAUACAGUCAUGGAGGUGACUGAUGUCAGCUGUGCCAGGCACCAUGCCCCGGCAUGGCACAGGAGCACUAUUGGCGGCCUAGCUGGGUGAAGGAGAGAAAAGGGCCUGCUCAGGCCUGCAGAACAUAUGUGUUCCAGCCCCUGGUGCAGAAUACAGACUCUGAUUAGGUGCAGACACCUGAAUAUUGGGCAGGGGGGGAGCUAGGUGAACAACGGGUUCAAGGGACAGAGCAGGGCUUACUCUUCGGUAUGAGCUGGGGGUGGCAGUGGUGCUAGCCCUGUAGGUCAGAGCUGUUGUCUGUGUCUGAGCUGUUCUGUCUCAGCCCAAAGGGUUACAAACCCACCAGCCAGGAGACUGCCCUACUGUCUGGCCAGGCUGGUUGCAGGUGUGGGAACUCUCCUUCUCUUGCCUGUUGCAGUGCAUCACAAUCCAGGAACGAAUGCAAAACGGCCAGGAAGAGAAAGCACAUGAGGAACCCUGAUCUUGCAGAUGAAGAGGAGCCAAGAUCUACCACUGCAGACUUCACACUGAGGAGCAGCUCAUGGUUUUCUGAUGGAACAGAUCUACGAAGACCUCCUCCCCCUCCAGAGCACUUGCUCUUUCACAGGCUCCUUCUCAUCUGUGAAGUGGAUUUUCCUGCUGGCCCUCCAUAUACAUAUUUUAUUCCUACUGCAUGAAAUCAAGGAGGGAUUCUCAUUUCCAUCAAAGCUGAACUGACUCCUUGAUCACAUCCUGUGGCUCUACUGGCAUGUCCCUUAACUGCAACAUGAGGUAAAGUUUGCAGGAAGAAGUAAAGACUCAUAUUAAAGCAAGUGAUAGAACUGGGGAAAAAAACAAACAGAAUAAAAAACCUGUUCCUAAAAGCUUGUUCUAUGUAACCAUUUGUGAAGGACAGUGGAGCUGUGUGAAAGAUUCUCAGGGCCCUCUGCUUUGCAAUUUGAGAGAAUCUCAGUAGCUUCUUUUCUCUCCUUUGUUUUUAUUAGCAGAUUCCUGUAUAUGAGAGUAUGGUAUUUGCUUUUUACUCAAAUAAUAAAACAUGGUGGUUCUAAGAAAAAUA